rnacentral:rRNA from 1 species
UACGUAGGGCGCAAGCGUUAUCCGGAAUUAUUGGGCGUAAAGAGCUCGUAGGCGGUUUGUCGCGUCUGCCGUGAAAGUCCGGGGCUCAACUCCGGAUUUGCGGUGGGUACGGGCAGACUAGAGUGAUGUAGGGGGAGACUGGAAUUCCUGGUGUAGCGGUGAAAUGCGCAGAUAUCAGGAGGAACACCGGUGGCGAAGGCGGAUCUCUGGGCCAUUACUGACGCUGAGGAGCGAAAGCGUGGGGAGCGAACAGG